GACGAACGCUGGCGGCGUGCUUAACACAUGCAAGUCGAGCGAGGUCCAUCCGGUGGCAACACCGGGGAAGACCUAGCGGCGAACGGGUGAGUAACACGUGAGCAACCUGUCCCGAAGACCGGGAUAACACCGGGAAACCGGUGCUAAUACCGGAUACCCUCUCCUGGCCGCAUGGCCUAAAGAGGAAAUGGAUUCCGCUUCGGGAGGGGCUCGCGGGCUAUCAGCUUGUUGGUGGGGUAACGGCCCACCAAGGCGACGACGGCUAGCUGGUCUGAGA
rnacentral:rRNA from 1 species